AGAAGGCGAGGAAAGACCGGGCUGCAAAAGGCUGGAGGCCAGCAAAAUCAAGAAGGAGGCC
rnacentral:ribozyme from 1 species